CUGCAGUCGANCGGAAACAUAUCUAGCUUGCUAGAUGAUGUCGAGUGGCGGACGGGUGAGUAAUGCUUGGGAACUUGCCUUUGCGAGGGGGAUAACAGUUGGAAACGACUGCUAAUACCGCAUAAUGUCUUCGGACCAAACGGGGCUUCGGCUCCGGCGCAAAGAGAGGCCCAAGUGAGAUUAGCUAGUUGGUGAGGUAAAGGCUCACCAAGGCAACGAUCUCUAGCUGUUCUGAGAGGAAGAUCAGCCACACUGGGACUGAGACACGGCCCAGACUCCUACGGGAGGCAGCAGUGGGGAAUAUUGCACAAUGGGGGAAACCCUGAUGCAGCCAUGCCGCGUGUGUGAAGAAGGCCUUCGGGUUGUAAAGCACUUUCAGUUGUGAGGAAAAGUUAGUAGUUAAUACCUGCUAGCCGUGACGUUAACAACAGAAGAAGCACCGGCUAACUCCGUGCCAGCAGCCGCGGUAAUACGGAGGGUGCGAGCGUUAAUCGGAAUUACUGGGCGUAAAGCGCACGCAGGCGGUUUGUUAAGCUAGAUGUGAAAGCCCCGGGCUCAACCUGGGACGGUCAUUUAGAACUGGCAGACUAGAGUCUUGGAGAGGGGAGUGGAAUUCCAGGUGUAGCGGUGAAAUGCGUAGAUAUCUGGAGGAACAUCAGUGGCGAAGGCGACUCCCUGGCCAAAGACUGACGCUCAUGUGCGAAAGUGUGGGUAGCGAACAGGAUUAGAUACCCUGGUAGUCCACACCGUAAACGCUGUCUACUAGCUGUUUGUGACUUUAAGUCGUGAGUAGCGAAGCUAACGCGAUAAGUAGACCGCCUGGGGAGUACGGCCGCAAGGUUAAAACUCAAAUGAAUUGACGGGGGCCCGCACAAGCGGUGGAGCAUGUGGUUUAAUUCGAUGCAACGCGAAGAACCUUACCUACACUUGACAUGUUGAGAA
rnacentral:rRNA from 1 species